rnacentral:rRNA from 1 species
UACGGAGGGUGCAAGCGUUAUCCGGAUUCACUGGGUUUAAAGGGUGCGUAGGUGGAGUGGUAAGUCAGUGGUGAAAAUCUCCAAGCUUAACUUGGAACUGCCGUUGAUACUAUCAUUCUUGAAUAUCGUGGAGGUAAGCGGAAUAUGUCAUGUAGCGGUGAAAUGCUUAGAUAUGACAUAGAACACCGAUUGCGAAGGCAGCUUGCUACACGAUCAUUGACACUGAGGCACGAAAGCGUGGGGAUCAAACAGG